UACGAAGGGGCUAGCGUUGCUCGGAAUCACUGGGCGUAAAGGGUGCGUAGGCGGGUUAUUAAGUCAGAGGUGAAAUCCUGGAGCUCAACUCCAGAACUGCCUUUGAUACUGAUAGUCUUGAGUAUGGGAGAGGUGAGUGGAACUGCGAGUGUAGAGGUGAAAAUUCGUAGAUAUUCGCAAGAACACCAGUGGCGAAGGCGGCUCACUGGCCCAUUACUGACGCUGAGGCACGAAAGCGUGGGGAGCAAACAGG
rnacentral:rRNA from 1 species